UACAGAGGGUGCAAGCGUUAAUCGGAUUUACUGGGCGUAAAGCGAGUGUAGGUGGUUUGCUAAGUCAGGUGUGAAAUCCCAGGGCUUAACCCUGGAACUGCAUUUGAUACUGGCAGGCUCGAGUGUAGUAGAGGAUAGUGGAAUUCCCGGUGUAGCGGUGAAAUGCGUAGAUAUCGGGAGGAACAUCAGUGGCGAAGGCGGCUAUCUGGACUAACACUGACACUGAGACUCGAAAGCGUGGGGAGCAAACAGG
rnacentral:misc_RNA from 1 species